rnacentral:rRNA from 1 species
UACGUGGGUGGCAAGCGUUGUCCGGAAUUAUUGGGCGUAAAGCGCGCGCAGGCGGUUCCUUAAGUCUGAUGUGAAAGCCCACGGCUCAACCGUGGAGGGUCAUUGGAAACUGGGGGACUUGAGUGCAGAAGAGGAGAGCGGAAUUCCACGUGUAGCGGUGAAAUGCGUAGAGAUGUGGAGGAACACCAGUGGCGAAGGCGGCCCCCUGGGUCGACACUGACGCUCAUGCACGAAAGCGUGGGGAGCAAACAGG